AGUCGUGCGAGAAAGUAUCUUCGGAUAUGAGUAGAGCGGCGGACGGGUGAGUAACGCGUAGGAAUCUACCUAGUAGAAGGGGAUAGCCCGGGGAAACCCGGAUUAAUACCGUAUACCUCCUUCGGGAGAAAGAAGGCCUCUCUUUGAAGCUUUCGCUACUAGAUGAGCCUGCGUAAGAUUAGCUUGUUGGUGAGGUAAAGGCUCACCAAGGCGACGAUCUUUAGCUGGUCUGAGAGGACGAUCAGCCACAUUGGGACUGAGACACGGCCCAGACUCCUACGGGAGGCAGCAGUGGGGAAUAUUGGACAAUGGGCGCAAGCCUGAUCCAGCCAUACCGCGUGUGUGAAGAAGGCCUUCGGGUUGUAAAGCACUUUAAGCAGGGAGAAAAAGUUAUAAGUUAAUACCUUAUAACCCUGAUGUUACCUGCAGAAUAAGCACCGGCUAAUUCCGUGCCAGCAGCCGCGGUAAUACGGAAGGUGCAAGCGUUAAUCGGAAUUACUGGGCGUAAAGCGCGCGUAGGUGGUUUGUUAAGUUGGAUGUGAAAGCCCCUGGGCUCAACCUAGGAACUGCAUCCAAAACUAACUCACUAGAGUACGAUAGAGGGAGGUAGAUUUCAUAGUGUAGCGGUGGAAUGCGUAGAUAUUAUGAAGAAUACCAGUGGCGAAAGCGGCCUCCCUGAUCUGUACUGACACUGAGGUGCGAAAGCGUGGGUAGCGAACAAGAUUAGAAUACCCUGGUAGUCCACGCCG
rnacentral:rRNA from 1 species